UAGAGUUUGAUCCUGGCUCAGAUUGAACGCUGGCGGCAGGCCUAACACAUGCAAGUCGAGCGGUAACAGGAAUUAGCUUGCUAAUUCGCUGACGAGCGGCGGACGGGUGAGUAAUGCCUGGGAAUAUGCCUUAGUGUGGGGGAUAACUAUUGGAAACGAUAGCUAAUACCGCAUAAUGUCUUCGGACCAAAGAGGGGGAUCUUCGGACCUCUCGCGCUAAGAUUAGCCCAGGUGAGAUUAGCUUGUUGGUGAGGUAAGAGCUCACCAAGGCGACGAUCUCUAGCUGGUCUGAGAGGAUGAUCAGCCACACUGGAACUGAGACACGGUCCAGACUCCUACGGGAGGCAGCAGUGGGGAAUAUUGCACAAUGGGCGAAAGCCUGAUGCAGCCAUGCCGCGUGUAUGAAGAAGGCCUUCGGGUUGUAAAGUACUUUCAGUCGUGAGGAAGGGUGUGUAGUUAAUAGCUGCACAUCUUGACGUUAGCGACAGAAGAAGCACCGGCUAACUCCGUGCCAGCAGCCGCGGUAAUACGGAGGGUGCGAGCGUUAAUCGGAAUUACUGGGCGUAAAGCGCAUGCAGGUGGUUCAUUAAGUCAGAUGUGAAAGCCCGGGGCUCAACCUCGGAACCGCAUUUGAAACUGGUGAACUAGAGUGCUGUAGAGGGGGGUAGAAUUUCA
rnacentral:rRNA from 1 species